rnacentral:rRNA from 1 species
CGGACGGGUGAGUAACGCGUGGAUAACCUGCCUUACACUGGGGGAUAACACUUAGAAAUAGGUGCUAAUACCGCAUAAGCGCACGGAGCCGCAUGGCUCAGUGUGAAAAACUCCGGUGGUGUAAGAUGGAUCCGCGUCUGAUUAGCUGGUUGGCGGGGUAGAAGCCCACCAAGGCGACGAUCAGUAGCCGGCCUGAGAGGGUGAACGGCCACAUUGGGACUGAGACACGGCCCAAACUCCUACGGAAGGCAGCAG